rnacentral:lncRNA from 1 species
ACACCGUCUUUUCGUUACCUCCGGCUGGAUCGAUGAGAAUCUUCGACAGACCGUAAUCUGCCAGUUUGACACGCGCGUCGGGCGACUUGGAGCUGAGCAUGAAGUUCUCAGGCUUCAAGUCCCGAUGAGCGAUCCCAUGAGCAUGCAGGUAUUCUAACCCCGUGGCUAGAUCACGAAAAAUCGUGCGUCCAACUUCUUCGUUGAAAUGUCCGCUGUUGACUAUGUGGUCAAGUAAGGUGCCACCCGUGACGAGCUCCAUCACCAGAAGUACUCGGGUUGGCUCGUCGAACCAUUCUCUCAAGCAGAUGCAGUUCGGUUGCUUGACACGACACAAGAUGUCGAUUUCAGUUUGCAGCGAGUGGUCACCAGGAUCGACUUUACUCUUUUCGAUCACCUUGACGGCCCAUUUGGAAUGAUCCGAUUUGCACGUGACCAAGCGCACCACCCCGAAAGCGCCCUCGCCCAAGAUUGAGCCAACCUUGUAAAAAUCCUUGAAGCUUCCCUUCUUGUUGAGCUUGACGUGACCAAACUCACCCCCACUCCCUGCUGGGUCCAGCAGGAUAUCGUCCAUUUCAAAUAUCGCGUCGAUGAGGCUCAGGACGGUGGGCGAUGGUCGCCGCGCUUUAGCUCAGCAUGGCGACCGUCAGGGACGCGACCUUUUAUCUGAUGCCUUGACAGCUGCGGUGUGUCACAUUCCCGAGACUCGAGCCGGAAAUAUAUAUAUUACGAAGGUAGUAUGAUUGCGGUCGGUUGCAGUUUUUUGUUUGCUUGCCAACUCAGAUCGAAUGUGUUAGGAGUGUUAGAACGUGUGAAGCCUGCGGUCGGUCGUCGUGUGUGAGCAUGGCUACAUCUCCUUAUAUCUGGACUAUCGCCACGAGUGCUUUACAAGAAGUAGAUAGACAAUUACAAGCUGAGAGGGCAAGGAAUGAUGAUUUACAAGUGAGAUUACAAGCGCUUGAAGCUAGGAUUGAGGCGCUGGAAAAGAACUAAUGCCAUCUACCUUCGUGGUGAGACUAG